CCUACGGGCGGCAGCAGUGAGGAAUAUUGGUCAAUGGGCGGAAGCCUGAACCAGCCAAGUAGCGUGCAGGAUGACGGCCCUACGGGUUGUAAACUGCUUUUAUACGGGAAUAACGCGCCUUACGUGUAGGGCUUUGCAUGUACCGUAUGAAUAAGGACCGGCUAAUUCCGUGCCAGCAGCCGCGGUAAUACGGAGGGUCCGGGCGUUAUCCGGAUUUAUUGGGUUUAAAGGGAGCGUAGGCCGCUUGUCAAGCUUGCUGUGAAAUUUCGGGGCUCAACCCGGGCCUUGCAGCGCGACCUGGCGUGCUGGAGGCCGCGGAAGGCAGGCGGAAGUCGUGGGG
rnacentral:rRNA from 1 species